rnacentral:rRNA from 1 species
UACGUAGGGUGCAAGCGUUGUCCGGAAUUAUUGGGCGUAAAGAGCUCGUAGGCGGUUUGUUGCGUCGGCUGUGAAAUCCCGAGGCUCAACCUCGGGUCUGCAGUCGAUACGAGCAAACUAGAGUGUUGCAGGGGAGACUGGAAUUCCUGGUGAUAGCGGUGAAAUGCGCAGAUAUCAGGAGGAACACCGGUGGCGAAGGCGGGUCUCUGGGCCGAUACUGACGCUGGAGGAGCGAAAGCGUGGGGAGCGAACAGG